GCAUGCAGCCAUACCACCUCGGGCUGUGAUCAUGCCAGAUCUCAUAAACUGAGCAGGGCUAGGCCUGCUCAGGAAAAUAUUUCGAUGGGACCCUGCAAGACAAGCACAGGUGUUGUUAGUA
rnacentral:rRNA from 1 species